rnacentral:rRNA from 1 species
GACGAACGCUGGCGGCGUGCCUAACACAUGCAAGUCGAACGGAAAGGCCCUGCUUUUGUGGCGUUCUCGAGUGGCGAACGGGUGAGUAACACGUGAGUAACAUGCCCUUGACUUUGGGAUAACUUCAGGAAACAGCGGCUAAUACAGGAUAGGAGCUUCUGCUGCAUGGUGGGUGUUGGAAAGUUUCGGCGGUAGGGGCUGGACUGGCGGCUUAUCAGCUUGUUGGUGGAGUAGGGGCUGACCAAGGCUUCGACGGGUAGCCGGCCUGAGAGGGGGAACGGCGACAAGGGUACUAAGAGACGGAGCAGACGGCUACGGUAGGCAGCAGUGGGAAAUCUGGCGGAGCGGGCGGAAGCCGGAGGCAGAAACCCUGCGAGCGUGAAGACGGCUUUCGAGGUGUGAACAGCUGUCGCCUGUGACGAAGCGUGAGUGACGGUAAUGGGUAAAGAAGCACCGGCUAACUACGUG